rnacentral:rRNA from 1 species
AGCAGCCGCGGUAAUUCCAGCUCCAAUAGCGUAUAUUAAAGUUGUUGCAGUUAAAAAGCUCGUAGUUGAACUUCGGGAUCAAUUGAUUGGUCAUGCCAUUGGUAUGUACUGGUCAUAUUGGUUCUCACCUUCUAAGGAACCAUAAUGUCAUUCAUUUGAUGUUUUGGGGAAUUAGGACUGUUACCUUGAAAAAUUAGAGUGUUUAAAGCAGGCUAACGCUUGAAUACAUUAGCAUGGAAUAAUGAAAUAGGACAUCGCAUUCUAUUUUGUUGGUUUCUAGGAUCGAUGUAAUGAUUAAUAGGGAUAGUUGGGGGCAUUAGUAUUCAAUUGUCAGAGGUGAAAUUCUUGGAUUUAUUGAAGACUAACUACUGCGAAAGCAUUUGCCAAGGAUGUUUUCAUUAAUCAAGAACGAAAGUUAGGGGAUCGAAGACGAUCAGAUACCGUCGUAGU